GCAGACUCACUCUGUUCCCAGCUGAUCCUUCCUGCUGGGAACUUUUUCUGUCUGCUACAUUAACAUGCAGAAUGUAACACCCCCUGACCCUCCUACCAGAAGGUCAGGGAUGGGAUGUCCUGCACACAGUC